GUGUCAGCAGCCGCGGUAAGACGAACCGUCCAAACGUUAUUCGGAAUCACUGGGCUUAAAGGGCGCGUAGGCGGCCGAGCGGGUCGUGGGUGAAAUCCCCCAGCUUAACUGGGGAACUGCUUACGAUACCACUGCGGCUCGAGGAAGGAAGGGGCAAUUGGAACUGUCGGUGGAGCGGUGAAAUGCGUUGAUAUCGACAGGAACGCCGGUGGCGAAAGCGAAUUGCUGGUCCUUUUCUGACGCUGAGGCGCGAAAGCCAGGGGAGCAAACGGGAUUAGAAACCCUGGUAGUCC
rnacentral:rRNA from 1 species